AUUGAACGCUGGCGGCAUGCUUUACACAUGCAAGUCGAACGGCAGCGCGGGCUUCGGCCUGGCGGCGAGUGGCGAACGGGUGAGUAAUGCAUCGGAACGUGCCCAGUAGUGGGGGAUAGCCCGGCGAAAGCCGGAUUAAUACCGCAUACGACCUGAGGGUGAAAGCGGGGGACCGAAAGGCCUCGCGCUAUUGGAGCGGCCGAUGUCGGAUUAGCUAGUUGGUGGGGUAAAGGCUUACCAAGGCGACGAUCCGUAGCUGGUCUGAGAGGGCGACCAGCCACACUGGGACUGAGACACGGCCCAGACUCCUACGGGAGGCAGCAGUGGGGAAUUUUGGACAAUGGGGGCAACCCUGAUCCAGCCAUGCCGCGUGCGGGAAGAAGGCCUUCGGGUUGUAAACCGCUUUUGUUCGGGAAGAAAUCCUCUGGGCUAAUACCCCGGGGGGAUGACGGUACCGGAAGAAUAAGCACCGGCUAACUACGUG
rnacentral:rRNA from 1 species